rnacentral:rRNA from 1 species
GAUGAACGCUGGCGGCGUGCUUAACACAUGCAAGUCGAGCGAAGCACUUUGAAGUUUUCGGACAGAUGAGUGACUGAGCGGCGGACGGGUGAGUAACGCGUGGGCAACCUGCCUCACACAGGGGGAUAACAGUUAGAAAUGACUGCUAAUACCGCAUAAGACCACAGCACCGCAUGGUGCAGGGGUAAAAACUCCGGUGGUCUGAGAUGGACCCGCGUCUGAUUAGCUAGUUGGUGAGGUAACGGCUCACCAAGGCGACGAUCAGUAGCCGACCUGAGAGGGUGACCGGCCACAUUGGGACUGAGACACGGCCCAAACUCCUACGGGAGGCAGCAGUGGGGAAUAUUGCACAAUGGGCGAAAGCCUGAUGCAGCGACGCCGCGUGAAGGAUGAAGUAUUUCGGUAUGUAAACUUCUAUCAGCAGGGAAGAAAAUGACGGUACCUGACUAAGAAGCCCCGGCUAACUACGUGCCAGCCGCCGCCGCAGUAA